AAUACACCUGCUUAAGUUUAAAGCGACGAAAAGGGCUCCCUCUGGCGGACACUUCAUUACUCUCUCCGUCUUCAAUGCAACAAGCAGACAACUGAAAACGGAAAGGAUAUGGCACAUCUAUAAACCUGCUAAGCCAUGACUGUCCAAAAACCUACUGUCCAAAACUCAGGACAGAAAAGCAUGGUGGACAUAGAAGAUCAACACUAAAGCAUUGAAAAUGUAUGAGCAAGAAUCACAUAACUUAGCAGAAUGACGUUACCCUGCUUUUUACAUCAUCUUCCAAAGAGAAACUUCUUUGACAUU